ensembl:lncRNA LINC01762 long intergenic non-protein coding RNA 1762
UCUUUGGCUUUGCUACCUCUCUUCCCUUCCCAUUGUUUUUCCUCCCCCCUCCUAGGUUCUCACAUCGCUUUCCUGUUUCCCUCUCCUGCAAUAUGGAUUUGACAUAUUAAUCAUUACAGCAACUGCUAAAAUUCCACUGUGCUUCAUUAAUCCGGAGGAAAAUACCAUGUCAGCUGGAACUUACUGUGUCUCUGUUUGAUUGAGCCUGGGCAUGAGAUAAAACACGAGGUCAUCUGCAAUGGCACUGGUGCUGUGGCUGUAUCAGCAUGGCUCUGAUGUCCCUUCGGGGCAGGCAACAGUUCAGGGAGGACUUACAAGCAAGCUCUGGAACUUGAAGUCUCAAGAGAUGACAAAUAGUCAAUUCUCAAAAAAUGAAGAAAAGAAAAACUUGUUUCUUCAUGUUUGCUAACCCUAUCUAUAUCUAUGGUUUUGGCCAAUAAAUUCACUGUGUUUAAAUCCUC